GAUAGUAGGUCUAUCAAUAAGGGCGUGCAGUCGCAGUUAUUAAACCACCUGAAGGUGCUGUAUUCAAAAGAUAUGGUACUGAGCGUUCAGGCAAAAGGUAUCGUGAAAAAGACGGUAUCAGGU
rfam:Sphingobacteriales bacterium 40-81 SCNpilot_expt_1000_bf_scaffold_202, whole genome shotgun sequence.